AGAAUAAAACAAAACGUGAAAGCACAAAUUCUUAGCUGUGGCCAUUAGCACCACGACACUUUCAGCUCGGGAACAAAGGGCAGGAUUGAUUUGAUUGGCUACACUCCAGGGACUCCGUCCUGGCCCACACAAGACUGGGUCGCAGACUGAAGAAGCUGCUCUUAUCCACAGACCCAGGGUCUGACACUGGGCAGAUACCAAUUCGUGAACCCCAAUUUUCUCAGCUAUCAGACCAGAUUAAAGCUUGGGGAGCCGAGGUCCACUCUCCCAGACUAUACUGAAGAACACACCACCGAUGGCUCACAGACAGAAAGGGCUCUGCUUCCAAAGAGCAGGCCAGUUUCCCCAGCCCCGGGCGAUGUUGAUGCUCCACCUCUCCCAGUCUCUCCGCCUCUCAGGCCAAGUCUGAGCAGCGCAUGGAGAGGCCUGGCUUUUCUGCGUGUUGCCAAACAGAGAGGUAACAACCAUCACCGCGGGCUCCCUGCGUGACGUCCUCCAUCUCAAUGGGUAGUCACCAAAUAAACAGAUGACAACCUAAGCCCCUUAGUGCACCCCACGGCCGGCGGCUCCCUACCUGAACCCUCCACCUUUAACCCCAAAUCCAAGCUAAGGGGUUUCCUUCCAUUAUUUGAAUAUACUCUUCUGCAAGUACAUAAGGUACAAGAGCCUUAACCCAUCAAGUCCUCGGUCCUUGUGAGGGAGCCGGCCAGAUUGUUUCACAGCUGCCAGCCACCGGCUUCUGGUCCAGAAACCUGGGGUGGACAUCCCUAAGCGCACAGUGCUCAAUCAGGGCAGCAGACAGCCUUGUCUCCUCGUGCCCUUCCCACCCUUCACUGCACAUGCUUGCCCUGGACGGUGAGAACCGUACAUCCCUGCCCGACUCUGGAAUAGGUACAUCCGGGGUGUGGCUCUCGUUGGAGAGCAGCCUCAGGGGUAGCCGCCAUCGAAGUCCCCCGGGGACAGCCCUGGAACAGCGCUCGCGGCUCCAGCCAUCCGCAGCUGCACGACGGCCUUAGAGACGCUCAGUCUCUGGAGUUGCUGCGACCUAAGGCCUGGCGAGGACACAGGGGGGAGCUGCAGGACCCGGAGGCGCGCGGCAGCCCGCCCUGGGCAGGGCGGGGCAGAGCAGGGCCGCCGCCUCCGCGGGUCCCACUGGGACGGUCCUCUCCGGCCGGGGGCUCGGUGAGCAGGGCGGCAGACGGGGCGCACCCCGGCCAGGCUCACAUGGACCUCCCGCGCCGCUGGCUCUUUCGGAUGUUGUUGCUCGUUGCCACCAGCUCUGGGAUCCUCCUCAUGCUGUACUCCUCGGCGGGGCAGCAGUCCCCUGAGACCCAGGUUCCCGCCAGGAACAUGGCGUACCCACGAGCAUUCUUUGACCCCAAACCACCGAAUUCGGAAAACAGAAAGAGCCGACUUUGCCAACACUCGCUGUCCCUGGCCAUUCAGAAGGACCGUCGCUUCCGCAGCCUGUUUGACCUCUCCACCCCGGUGCUGCUGUGGGAGGGCCUCUUCACUCAGGAACUCUGGAAUAAUCUGAGCCAGCACAAAGUCCCCUACGGAUGGCAGGGGCUCUCCCACGAAGUCAUUGCCUCUACCCUGAGACUUCUGAAAAGCCCGGAGAGCGGGGAGCUGUUUGGUGCCCCCAGGAAACUACCUCUAAGCUGUAUUCGCUGUGCCGUGGUGGGUAACGGAGGUAUUCUGAAUGGGUCCCGGCAGGGCCAGAAAAUCGAUGCUCAUGACUAUGUCUUCAGACUCAAUGGCGCCAUAACCGAAGGCUUUGAGCGCGACGUGGGCACUAAGACCUCCUUCUACGGUUUCACCGUGAACACCAUGAAGAACUCGCUCAUCUCCUACGCCAAACUGGGCUUCACCUCUGUGCCACAAGGGCAGAACCUGCGCUACAUCUUCAUCCCCUCCAGCAUCCGUGACUACCUGAUGCUGAGAUCCGCCAUCCUGGGUGUGCCUGUUCCAGAAGGUCCUGAUAAAGGGGACAGCCCCGGCCCUACCGCUACCACAGGCGCUUAACACUACCCUCGCUCUCCCUUCAAUACGAUGGUGCUGGACGCUCUGUCCACUUCUAUCGUGGGACCUAGGCCUCACACCUAUUUUGGACCGGAAACCUCUGCCAGUAAAUUCAAGCUCCUGCACCCAGACUUCAUCAGCUACCUGACAGAGAGGUUUCUGAAAUCCAAGCUGAUUAACACACGAUUUGGAGACAUGUAUAUGCCUAGCACGGGAGCGCUCAUGCUGCUGACAGCCUUGCACACCUGUGACCAGGUCAGUGCCUACGGAUUCAUCACAAACAACUACCAGAAAUACUCAGACCACUAUUUCGAACGAGAAAAGAAACCACUGAUAUUCUACGCAAACCACGACCUGUCCCUGGAAGCUUCGCUAUGGCGAGACCUGCACAACGCCGGCAUCCUUUGGCUGUACCAACGCUGACCCCAAAGUACCGGAUUUCUGUGCCUCAAAAGCACUUUUUUUGACCUUUCAACUUCUGGAAGAGGCAACACUCCCCUUGGCCCUCUACUUCCCAACAGAGGGUAUUGAGACAAGACCCGUCACAUAAUACCAGAGCCUGUUCAAUGCACGACACUGUCACAGGUCAAGACAACUCUUCUGAGGCUUAGCCGAGGGAGGGAAGACUGCUUUGUAGGAUUCGUUUUAAAACUGAACAUUAAAUGAGACAAUGAUGCUCACCAGCAAACAGGCGGGCAGGCACAUCUCAGAGCUAAGUAGUCCAAAGCCAGCACCUGGCCCUGGGCAACUAGAAACAUUGAUGGAACCACUCAGGGCUAUCCAGGAACCUCGAUCGAGCAGAGCUGAAACCAAUGGCAUGUUGAGUCCCAAAUGCCAAAGCCAUUCAACCUAGAACACCUUAGGCAUUAUAGGAACAGGACACUUCUGCCUCCUGAUAGAGGAUGAGAAACAGAGGCAGAAUGUAGUUUGAAGCUAGAUAAUAGGGUGUGAUGGAUGACCAUUUUGUCUUUUUUGUGUUGGUAGAGUAGAAGACACAAACUCCAAGGUGGUGUGUCUGGAGGGAAGGGGUGUGGCGGCACUCAGGACAGAGUUUGGUGGCACCUGCACCGAGGUUCAGGCUAGGAGUACCUAGCACCAAAGAGACAAACUUUGUGUAAGUCGCCACCACUGACGAGUCUCACUGGAGAGGCACAUCAGUCCUUGUCACCAACAGGAAACUGAGUGAUGGACCCUCACUUCACAGCUUCAAUAAACAGCACCUGAUGCAGUCCAA